UGGAAGACUAGUGAUUUUGUUGUUCGAUAUAUGGGGAAACAAAAAGUCACUAGUUAUCCUA
rnacentral:pre_miRNA from 1 species